ensembl:lncRNA
CUGAAAGAUUGUAUUUCAGGAUGGUGAUUUUUCUGAUCCUUUUUCGUCUGUAUUUUCAAAUCUUUAACAAAAUCACCCAGAUGGCAUCACCGACUCAAUGGAUGUGAGUCCGAGUGAAGUCUGGGAGUUGGUGAUGGACGGGGAGGCCUGGCGUGCUGCAAUUCACAGGGUUGCAGAGUCGGACACGACUGAGCGACUGAACUGAACUGAACUGAACUGAACUUUUAUUCAUUGAGCAUCUACUGUAUGCUAGAUGAGGAGCCUAAGACUCACAGUGUUGCGUCAGCUUUCUCGAAGUUACACGGCUCAUGGGAAGCAGGGCUGAGAUCAGAACUCUGAGGAGCUGAUUCCAGCUUCCAGGGUCUUGAGUGCCAUGAGAUACUGCCCCUUCCAUGGGAAAACUCAGGACCAGAAAAAGAAAGGGGUCUACCUGAGCCAAUCGGAAGAAAGGGGCCCAGAUGUCAAACCUCUUGCUCCGCCUUGGGACCUCUUCACAAGGCCACCCGUGUCAUCCCCAUGGUCUUGCGCAUGGGCAGCUACUGGCCUCUGGGGUUUCACCUCCGGGAAAUGUUUCAAAUGGAAUAUGCAGACACUCAAGCACUGCCCAUUAAACUAAUGAUGGCAUAUUGAAUGUAACGAAUUACAUUCGUGUUAAGAGAAGACAACCGGAAACAUUUUCCUAGAAACCCAGUGAAUUCUUCCAGGAAACUGCUCUGAAGAGCAGUGAUGAGUUGGGGAACUUUUGGGAUUAGUUCUGAAGGUCAUUUCCUGGGGCAGGGAAGAGAGGGAAGCCAGGCAGCC